GCUUGGUUCGAAAAUCUCGUUUUGAGCUCGAGUGUUUGCGUUUCCUCGGUCUUGUAAUUAGUUCCCGCGAUGGAGUGGGCUUUGCUUCAAACGACAUGGGCCUGGCCCUGAUGCACGGCACGCCAACCAAAUGCUAUGGAACUGGGCCCUCCAUGAUAAAACAAUAAAAGGAAAAACAAGAGGCAUCACGAAGACACUGGCUGGGCAACUGGUCCUCCGUUUUGUAUUGCAUUUCGUUUCCUUGUGUCUUCGCGAACGUCAUUACUGUACUGCCGUAGUGGUG
rnacentral:lncRNA from 1 species